GAGAAAGCGCGUAAGAGCGUAUGGUGGAUGCCUUGACACAAGAAGCCGAAGAAGGACGUGAUAGUCUGCGAUAAGCUACGGUGAGCUGACAAUAAGCAUUAUCAGCCGUAGAUGUCCGAAUGGGAGAACCCAGUCCGAUUUAUCGGAUUACCUCUUGCUGAACACAUAGGCAAGAUGGCGGCCAGCCAGUGAACUGAAACAUCUAAGUAACUGGAGGAAAAAAGACAAAGUUUGUAAUUCCCUUAGUAGUGGCGAGCGAACGGGGAAAAGCCUAAACCUAAGUUAGGGGAAACUGUCAUGAUUUUUUGAUUCGUCAAGAAUGAUUGGCUUUUUCGCUGUAUUGGCAGUAGUCCUGAUCUAGGUGUUAUAGGAGCUGUUGUUUCGUUACCAAUGUGACGAGAGACAAGUUAUCAAUCUGGUAGAUAAUAGAACUCAGCUGGAAAGCUGGACCGUAGUGCGUAAUAGUCGCGUAUAUGAAGUCUAAUCAGACUUGUCAAACAGAUUUCCUGAGUACUACCGAAUAGGUGAAAGACGGUAGGAAUUAACCUGAACCACCAGGUAAGGCUAAAUACUUCUUGUGAUCGAUAGCGAAUUAGUACCGCGAGGGAAAGGUGAAAAGAACCCCGGGAGGGGAGUGAAAUAGAUCCUAAAACCAUAUGCUUACAAGCAGUCGGAGUACCGAUUUAUCGGUAUGACGGCGUGCCUAUUGAAGAAUGAGUCUGCGAGUUAUCCUGUACGGUUGCUUAAGCUGUUCUGCAGUGGAGGCUAAGCGAAAGCGAGUCUGAAAGGGCGACAAUAAUCGUAUAGGAUAGACCCGAAACCGUGUGAUCUAUCCAUGGGCAGGUUGAACUCCGUAGAAAUACGGAGGGAGGACCGAACCGGUAAGCGCUGAAAAGCUUUCGGAUGACCUGUGGUUAGGGGUGACACGUCAAUCGAACACGGAAAUAGCUGGUUCUCCCCGAAAUAGCUUUUGGGCUAGCCUCGGUAUUUAUAUCUACACGGAGGUAGAGCACUGAUUGGGUCGAGGGUUCCUUCGGGAAUACCUCACUCUCUCAAACUCCGAAUGCCGUGUAGUUUUAGCCGGGAGUCAGACCGUGAGGGAUAAGCUUCACUGGUCAAGAGGGAAACAGCCCAGAAUAUCGGAUAAGGUCCCUAAAUCUAUACUAAGUGGAAAAGGAGGUGGAAUUUCUAUGACAGCUAGGAGGUUUGCUUGGAGGCAGCCAUCCUUUAAAGAAAGCGUAAUAGCUCACUAGUCGAGAGAUUCUGCGCCCAUAAUGAUCGGGGCUCAAGUAUAGUACCGAAGCCAUAUCGUCACGUACUCUUCGGAGUGCGUGCAUGGGUAGGGGAGUGUUGUAUGCUGCAGUGAAGUUGCACUGUGAGGUGUGAUGGAGUGCAUACAAGUAAGGAUGCAGACAUGAGUAGCGCAAUCUCGAUGAAAAAUCGGGACACCGAAUGUUCAAGGUUUCCUCUGCUACGGUUUUCGUCAGAGGGUUAGUCGGUCCUAAGCCGAGGCUGAAAGGCGUAGGUGAUGGACAACAGGUUAAUAUUCCUGUACUGUUAAUGUUUCGUUAUCAACUAAGGAGGGACAGAGGGGGAGAAGCUGAUGAGCUCACAGGUGAGCUUCCAAGCAAUAAGGUAGAGUGGUUAGGUAAAUCCGGCCAUUCGUUCCCCGACUUGUCGGGGUGGAUCCAAGUUGUGAUGGGGAGUUUUUACUUUCGGGUAAAGGCAAGUUCAGCAAUUCCACUUACUGGAAAAUCUUCUAAGUGAGAAACAUUAUCAACCGUACCGCAAACCGACACAGGUGAACUGGUAGAAAAUACCAAGGUGUACGAGUUAUGCCUUGCUAAGGAAUUCGGCAAAUUACUACCGUAACUUCGGGAGAAGGUAGCCCCGCCUAUGGCGGGGGGCACAAAAUAGACUCCAUCGACUGUUUAACAAAAACACAGGUCCGUGCUAACACGUAAGUGGAUGUAUACGGGCUGACGCCUGCCCAAUGCCAGAAUAUUACCGGAGAGGGUGAUAGUUCGAUUUAUCGGACAGGAGCCUUCGACUUAAGUACUGGUGAAUGGCGGCUGUAACCAUGACGGUCCUAAGGUAGCGAAGUUCCUCGGCGCUUAAUAGGCGUCCCGCACGAAUGGCGUAACGAGUGGAGUGCUGUCUUAGCAGGUUGCUCGGCGAACAAUGAAAUGGCUGUGAAGAUGCGGCCUACCCGCACCAGGACAAAAAGACCCCGGGAUCUUUACUACAGUUUGGCAUUGGAACAAGAUUUUUGCUGUAGAGCGUAGGAAGGAGACUUUGAAGCCUCAUCGUCAGAUGGGGUGGAGUCGUCAAUGUAACACUUCCCUGUAAUUGUUUUGUUUCUAAUAGAAUCCGUAAUCCGGACAUCUAAACAUUGCCAGAUGGGUAGUUUAAUUGGGGCGAUUUCUUACUAAAAGGUAACGUAAGAUUCCAAAGGUAACCUCAGGUUGGAUGGAAAUCAACCGAAGAGUAUAAAGGCAUAAGGUUGCUUUACUGCAAGACUGACAGGUCGAGCAGUCACGAAAGUGGGGCUUAGUGACCUUCUGAUGGCGCGUGGAAGCGUCAUUGUUCAAAGGAUAAAAGUUACCCCGGGGAUAACAGGCUAGUCUUGCCCGAGCGUCCAAAGCGACGGCAAGGUUCGGCACCUCGAUGUCGGCUCGUCAUAUCCUGGAGCUGAAUAAGGUUCCAAGGGUUGGGCUGUUCGCCCAUUAAAAUGGCACGUGAGCUGGGUUCAAACCGACGUGAGUCAGGUUGGUCUCUAUCCGGUGUGGGCGUUCGAAUUCUGAGAGGAUUGGCCCUUAGUACGCGAGGACCAGGGUCAGGUAACCUCUAGUGCACCAGUUGUUCCACCAGGAGCAUAGCUGGGUAGCUACGUUGCUAUCUUGAUAACCACUGAAAGCAUCUAAGUGGGAAGCAGGCCUCAAGAUGAGAAUUCGUUGAAGACUCCUAGUAGACUACUAGGUUGAUAGGUACCAGGUGUACGUACAGUAAUGUAUUUAGCCGAGGUAUACUAAUAAGUCGAAAUGCUUUCAAAA
rnacentral:rRNA from 1 species